AUCCCAAAUCCGGGUCUGAAUUCCCUGGGAGGAGCUUCCUUACAGGGGGAUCAGACCCCUUUUCCAUGGGGAAAUCCCAAUCCCAAAUCUGGAUCUGAACCCUGUGGGACGAGUAUCCUUCCAGGAGGAUCAGACCCUUUUUCCAUAGGGAAAGCUCAAUCCCGAUCCCAAAUUCAGGUCUGAAUUCCCUGGGAGGAGCAUCCUUACAGGGGGAUCAGACCCUUUUUCCAUGGGGAAAUCCUUCCAGGAGGAUCAGACCCUUUUUCCAUAGGGAAAUCUCAAUCCCAAAUCCAAAUUUGGGUCUGAAUUCCCUGGGAGGAGCAUCCUUACAGGGGGAUCAGACCCUUUUUCCAUGGGGAAAUCCCAAUCCCAAAUCCAGGUCUGAAUUCCCUGGGAGGAGCUUCUUUCCAUGGGGGGAUCAGACCCUUUUUCCAUGGGGAAAUCCCAUGGGGAUCAGACCCCUUUUCCAUGGGGAAAUCCCAAUCCCGACCCCAAAUCCGGGUCUGAAUUCCCUGGGAGGAGCUGCCUUCCAGGGGGAUCAGAAUUAACAGGGGAGAAACCCUAAAAGAGAGAAACCCCCCUUGGGAUCAGAGGGAAAUCCCUGAGGAACAGAGGGAUCCCAAACNAGGACAGGACACACCCCAAUUCCUCCAUCUUACUCCUCUAAACCCCCCUGUACAUAAAUCCUAAACCCUGUGUCUCACCCUCUAAUUAGCUAAUCUCUUUGCCAUUCACCCCGGUGAAGUCCUCUUAUCUUCAUAAAGGUGUCGUCUCCCGUGUAGGGUCAAAGUCCUGCCACCAAACACUUCUGGCAACAUUCCAGGACUCCCGGGCCCCCCAAGGGUGGUCUCGGAGGCUCAGCAUCUCAGGACUCAGAUCCUGAGAUCCCACACCUUGGCACAGGGGCGGUGACACCGCGUCCUCGGCGCUGCCACUGAGACACACACACACAGAGAUCCAAAAAUGUGGGAAAAUGUGUGGGAAAUUUAUUCUCAAGGAUGGAGAAAACCAAGCCUGGGAG
ensembl:lncRNA